CCUACGGGUCGCAGCAGUGGGGAAUAUUGCACAAUGGGCGCAAGCCUGAUGCAGCCGUGCCGCGUGUAUGAAGAAGGCCUUAGGGUUGUAAAGUACUUUCAGUUGGGAGGAAGGCGUUGAUGCUAAUAUCAUCAACGAUUGACGUUACCAACAGAAGAAGCACCGGCUAACUCCGUGCCAGCAGCCGCGGUAAUACGGAGGGUGCAAGCGUUAAUCGGAAUUACUGGGCGUAAAGCGCACGCAGGCGGUUGAUUAAGUUAGAUGUGAAAUCCCCGGGCUUAACCUGGGAAUGGCAUCUAAGACUGGGCAGCUAGAGUCUUGUAGAGGGGGGUGGAAUUCCAUGUGUAGCGGUGAAAUGCGUAGAGAUGUGGAGGAAUACCGGUGGCGAAGGCGGCCCCCUGGACAAAGACUGACGCUCAGGUGCGAAGGCGUGGGGAGCAAACAGGAUUAGAUACCCCGGUAGUC
rnacentral:rRNA from 1 species